rnacentral:misc_RNA from 1 species
GUUCAUUCUAAAGGUUGAUAGUCUCCAAAAUCUCCCCUAACUAAUUUACUCCUUUUUUCAAUUAAAAUAAAGCAUAAAAACUUCAUGAUAGCUGAGGAGAUCCAUGCCAUGUCAAAAAGAUAAGAACCAUAAUCACAAAUACUAUCCAUAGCUAGAAUUUUAAUAAAGGCAAGAGAAGAGAAUGUAAAUAAAUUCCUCUCUCCAUUGCCAUAUAAUCACAUUUUAUCCAAAUUUUGUUUUUUUUUCUCCUCCAUCUUCUCAAUAUCCG